GACGUCGAAUAUCGACGUCAUAAACACCAAAGUUGAUCGUGUUUAUGACGUUGAAUAUCGACGUCAUAAACACCAAAGUUGAUCGUGUUUAUGACGCCGAAUAUCGACGUCAUAAACACCAAAGUUGAUCGUGUUUAUGACGUCGAAUAUCGACGUCAUAAAUACCAAAGUUGUUCGUGUUUAUGACGUCGAAUAUCGACGUC